rnacentral:tRNA from 1 species
AGUAGUAUGUCUGAUAAAAGUAAUAAAUUGUAAAUUUAUUUAUAGAAAUAAAUUUCUUACUACUA